CUUCCUUACUUAGUAUUACCCUGAUGUCAUGGUGUUACAGUAGAUGAUGCUCAUGGGGGGGGGUCUCUGUCGGAUGGGGAGUUCGCUCAUUUAGUGCGUGAAUUGUCGUUAUACUAAGUUUUGCGAGUAUGGUUUAUUUCGUUGUUGUUCGAGGUCCCUUGUCUCCAGGGGGGGAAGGGUGUCGAUGUGGGUAGGGUGCCUGCGGUGUGUCGAGGGUGUAAGGUGAGAGUGGGGGGUCCCUGUGAAUUGGGGGCGAGUAACAGGUGGAGGGGAGUAGCAGCGUGGUACCGGUUUGCGGCUGUUGGUGGGUCCUAGGAUCGUGACCUCUAUGUCACAGGGUGGGUUGGUAAGUGUGUAGGGUGGUCGGUGUUGGUUUAAAGGGUGGUGUCGUUUCGGUAGCCAGUGCUGUGGCCUCUUUGCGGGCUCGUUAAUGACUGUGUUGGUGUUGUGUGAGCUGUUGUGUGUAGU